rnacentral:rRNA from 1 species
UGAGGAAUAUUGGUCAAUGGACGCAAGUCUGAACCAGCCAAGUAGCGUGCAGGAUGACGGCCCUAUGGGUUGUAAACUGCUUUUAUAUGGGGAUAAAGUGGGGAACGUUUUCCCUUUUGCAUGUACCAUAUGAAUAAGGACCGGCUAAUUCCGUGCCAGCAGCCGCGGUAAUACGGAAGGUUCGGGCGUUAUCCGGACUUAUUGGGUUUAAAGGGAGCGUAGGCCGUUUGGUAAGCGUGUUGUGAAAUGUAGGAGCUCAACUUCUAGAUUGCAGCGCGAACUGUCAGACUUGAGUGCGCACAACGUAGGCGGAAUUCAUGGUGUAGCGGUGAAAUGCUUAGAUAUCAUGAAGAACUCCGAUUGCGAAGGCAGCUUACGGGAGCGCAACUGACGCUGAAGCUCGAAGGUGCGGGUAUCGAACAGG